GAGUUUAAGAGAAACUUAGAUUUUAAUUGUAUUUUUGGCUUAAGGAUAAAAGAAUCUUUUACCUUUAUUAAUUGGUGUAGAAAUUAAUAUAAUGGGUGUAGAAAGUAAAAGAAUAAAAUUAAAAUCUUAAAGUUAAAANAUUACAUGAAUGUUUGAAAGAUUUGGUAGUUAGUGGUAUUUUAAAAAGUAGAUAAGGAAAAAUAAGAGAGGAAACCUUAGUGGUUUAUAGAUUAAGUGAGAAAUUUUAUUUUAACCAAAAAGAUAGAAANAAAAUAAGAGAAGAUAAAAAG
rnacentral:lncRNA from 1 species